AUUGAACGCUGGCGGCAGGCCUAACACAUGCAAGUCGGACGGUAGCACAGAGGAGCUUGCUCCUCGGGUGACGAGUGGCGGACGGGUGAGUAAUGUCUGGGGAUCUGCCCGAUAGAGGGGGAUAACCACUGGAAACGGUGGCUAGUACCGCAUAACGUCGCAAGACCAAAGAGGGGGACCUUCGGGCCUCUCACUAUCGGAUGAACCCAGAUGGGAUUAGCUAGUAGGCGGGGUAACGGCCCACCUAGGCGACGAUCCCUAGCUGGUCUGAGAGGAUGACCAGCCACACUGGAACUGAGACACGGUCCAGACUCCUACGGGAGGCAGCAGUGGGGAAUAUUGCACAAUGGGCGCAAGCCUGAUGCAGCCAUGCCGCGUGUAUGAAGAAGGCCUUCGGGUUGUAAAGUACUUUCAGCGGGGAGGAAGGCGAUGUGGUUAAUAACCGCAUUGAUUGACGUUACCCGCAGAAGAAGCACCGGCUAACUCCGUGCCAGCAGCCGCGGUAA
rnacentral:rRNA from 1 species